rnacentral:sRNA from 1 species
AAAAAGAAUAGAUUUGCCGUAGACAGUAGGUGCUAAAAGCUUAAUUUCCUACCGAGGUUUUAGAUAAAUUGAAAUUACUAAAGCUUUUGUUGUCUUGUUUUGCCAUCAAAAGCUUUUUUA